rnacentral:rRNA from 1 species
AGGGUUUGAUUCUGGCUCAGAACGAACGCUGGCGGCAGGCCUCAUACAUGCAAGUCGAGCGGUCCUUCGGGACAGCGGCGAACGGGUUAGUAACGCGUGGGAACGUGCCCUUUAGUACGGAAUAGCCAUUGGAAACGAUGAUUAAUACCGUAUACGCCCCAAGGGGGAAAGAUUUAUCGCUAAAGGAUCGGCCCGCGUUAGAUUAGGUAGUUGGUAGGGUAAUGGCCUACCAAGCCGACGAUCUAUAGCUGGUUUGAGAGGAUGAUCAGCAACACUGGGACUGAGACACGGCCCAGACUUCUACGGAAGGCAGCAGUAGGGAAUCUUGGACAAUGGGCGAAAGCCUGAUCCAGCCAUGCCGCGUGAGUGAUGAAGGCCCUAGGGUUGUAAAGCUCUUUCGCCAGGGAAGAUAAUGACGGUACCUGGUAAAGAAACCCCGGCUAACUCCGUGCCAGCAGCCGCGGUAAUAC